rnacentral:rRNA from 1 species
AGGUGUUGUUGGGUAGGGGAGCGUUCUGUAAGCCUGUGAAGGUGGCCUGUGAGGGUUGCUGGAGGUAUCAGAAGUGCGAAUGCUGACAUAAGUAACGAUAAAGCGGGUGAAAAGCCCGCUCGCCGGAAGACCAAGGGUUCCUGUCCAACGUUAAUCGGGGCAGGGUGAGUCGACCCCUAAGGCGAGGCCGAAAGGCGUAGUCGAUGGGAAACGGGUUAAUAUUCCCGUACUUGGUGUUACUGCGAAGGGGGGACGGAGAAGGCUAUGUUGGCCGGGCGACGGUUGUCCCGGUUUAAGCGUGUAGGUGUGUGUUCCAGGUAAAUCCGGUUCACUUUAACACUGAGGCGUGACGACGAGGCACUACGGUGCUGAAGCAACAAAUGCCCUGCUUCCAGGAAAAGCCUCUAAGCAUCAGGUAACAUCAAAUCGUACCCCAAACCGACACAGGUGGUCAGGUAGAGAAUACCAAGGCGCUUGAGAGAACUCGGGUGAAGGAACUAGGCAAAAUGGUGCCGUAACUUCGGGAGAAGGCACGCUGACACGUAGGUGAAGUGAUUUACUCAUGGAGCUGAAGUCAGUCGAAGAUACCAGCUGGCUGCAACUGUUUAUUAAAAACACAGCACUGUGCAAACACGAAAGUGGACGUAUACGGUGUGACGCCUGCCCGGUGCCGGAAGGUUAAUUGAUGGGGUCAGCGCAAGCGAAGCUCCUGAUCGAAGCCCCGGUAAACGGCGGCCGUAACUAUAACGGUCCUAAGGUAGCGAAAUUCCUUGUCGGGUAAGUUCCGACCUGCACGAAUGGCGUAAUGAUGGCCAGGCUGUCUCCACCCGAGACUCAGUGAAAUUGAACUCGCUGUGAAGAUGCAGUGUACCCGCGGCAAGACGGAAAGACCCCGUGAACCUUUACUAUAGCUUGACACUGAACAUUGAGCCUUGAUGUGUAGGAUAGGUGGGAGGCUUUGAAGUGUGGACGCCAGUCUGCAUGGAGCCGACCUUGAAAUACCACCCUUUAAUGUUUGAUGUUCUAACGUGGACCCGUAAUCCGGGUUGCGGACAGUGUCUGGUGGGUAGUUUGACUGGGGCGGUCUCCUCCUAAAGAGUAACGGAGGAGCACGAAGGUUGGCUAAUCCUGGUCGGACAUCAGGAGGUUAGUGCAAUGGCAUAAGCCAGCUUGACUGCGAGCGUGACGGCGCGAGCAGGUGCGAAAGCAGGUCAUAGUGAUCCGGUGGUUCUGAAUGGAAGGGCCAUCGCUCAACGGAUAAAAGGUACUCCGGGGAUAACAGGCUGAUACCGCCCAAGAGUUCAUAUCGACGGCGGUGUUUGGCACCUCGAUGUCGGCUCAUCACAUCCUGGGGCUGAAGUAGGUCCCAAGGGUAUGGCUGUUCGCCAUUUAAAGUGGUACGCGAGCUGGGUUUAGAACGUCGUGAGACAGUUCGGUCCCUAUCUGCCGUGGGCGCUGGAGAACUGAGGGGGGCUGCUCCUAGUACGAGAGGACCGGAGUGGACGCAUCACUGGUGUUCGGGUUGUCAUGCCAAUGGCACUGCCCGGUAGCUAAAUGCGGAAGAGAUAAGUGCUGAAAGCAUCUAAGCACGAAACUUGCCCCGA